CAAGAGAUUUUUACACCCGUGGUAAGCAAAAUGCAGCAAACAAGACAUAAUAACGGCCUUCGGUGGUCUAUCAGCCAGUUUCCCACCAGGAACGAGGACUUCCCUCCUGCGGACUGCGUCCUGACCCCAAAUCUCACAGCAGAUCUGUGAUAAAGGUGAACUUCACUUAGCCCAGAUCUGACAGACCGUGGGCUCUGCUGAUCUCUACCUUUUGUUGAGCUCAUUCUUAAAAUACUACCUUCCUGCCUGGGCACCGUCUGAGGUGAUGCAUAAUGCUGGAAGAGAGCUAGGGAAGAGGGGGUGAAGCAGUUAAUGAAACCGACAGGUGCUGUCAUGCCCGCUGAAAAGGCUCCAGACUGAGGAUUAGUCGGGCUGGCCCAACAAGCUGGCUAAUUGGCAAGACUGAGACAUUUGGAUCACUGCAGAUCACCUUGCUGUGUAGACAAAAGGAGAAUGCUUGCUGAUGCCUGUUCCGGAUUUAAGGAGACAAAGAACAUAGGAUAACCAAAUAUAAUACAUGAUUCUUGAUUAGACCUAGAUCAGAAAAACAUUGCUAUAAAGGACAUUUUGGAAACAAUUUGGCAGAUGUGUCUUCCCACAGUGGAUGAAGAAGAAAGAGAUGAAUGCACUUGAAGCAUUGAAAGAGGAGGCCCAUGAUGAGAAGGGCUGUCCCUACACUGACCACUGGAGCUGCGUGGCCCUUCAAUCAUUUCAUCAUGAGCCAAGUUCCUGCCAUCCAAACUGAUUUGGUCCAAACUCAUUGGAGUGGCAAAGAAGGCUCUUCAUGAUCCAGCUGCUGGCUCCACCUUCUGCCCCGCCUCCUAUCACUUUCCUACCUCUUUCUCUGAAGCCUGACGCAAGCCACACCAAGUGACGGCAUUUCUUGAGGAUAAGAUGCUCUUGUGACUGUGUCUUACACUUCUAGGAACAACCCCCCCUCCCCCAAACCUUCAGGUUGGGAGAUGGAUACCCCGAUUCUCCGUCCAUUUUUGCCAUCAAUCCUACAGGUGGCCUCAGUUUCUUCCUUUACAAAAUAAGGGGAUUAGAGACUUAGCAGUUGCCAAGUUGUGGCCCAUGGGUCAAAUACAUACUUUGUAUUUGACUGGCCCCACACAAACUUUGACAAGCAUAGUGUUUGUGUGUUUGUGUGAGUCUAUUCCACUCCCCAAGGCAGCUCAGGCCACCACUCUCUCUUCACCUAUGCCCAGCAGCAUACACACUUACAUUAGUACGUGGCCUCUGGGUGCACAUGAAUUGGCCACCAAGAGGCCUGGUGAUCUCUAAGGUUUCCUCCAGUUCUAAUGACAUGUGAAAUAAAUUAACUCCAAAAACACAGGCUCAAGCAGAUGGUAAAUGUGCAAGAAACACACAAAAGACCUCAGCCUCAGGUACCAGAGACCCUAUCAAAUAGUCCUGGAUUGACACCAAGACCUUUACAAAACAGAUUCCCUUGACUGAUCCCAUAUGGCUAAUGAAUUUGCUUUCUUUUACCAUGCGGCUUAGCAGGUAUUAUCACCACCGCUCCCGGGAUGGUCUGUUUUCCACACAAAGCCAAACCGAUUUCUUUACAGAGCACCUGUUCCUUUUGAAGCUGUAACCCAAUGAUCAGUAAUCUUUAUUUUUCUUCCUGAAUAAUAACUUAUACGAGAGAAAAGGAAGACCCUAAUAUUUCUCAUUUUAGCACUGACUAGCAUCUGCAGGCUUCAGCUGCAGUGGAGGAAAUCCGGAGCCAUUUCUCCCCGCCAAUAGCUUUUGACAGGAUUGUUAACCACUGGCUUCCAGCCCACCCAGGGGAAGCGUGUUGUUCCGACUCUGUGGUAUAUGCUCACCUGCUCCCCACAUCCAUUUCCUUUGAUUAGAGAGUAUGACCUUUUCUUUGACCAAAGCCCAUCUCAUCUUAAGCUAGUUUGAAUCUUUCUUACAUGAAACUCAUGCUGCUCAGGUGUGGUAAAAACAACUAAAUCAUCCAAUUUUCCCCAAAGAGAAAAGGCUAUGACACCUGCUAAAGGGCUGGAUCAGAUGGUCUCUUCAGACUCUUCUAGUCUGCUAUUUUCUGAUUCUGCUAUUUUCUGAUUAUGCCAGAACUGUGGAUACUCACAAUAUCUUAUGAAUAAAAAUUACUGAAAAAGAAAUGUGAUUGGCCUACAUUAAGAAAUUCCUCUCCAAAAAUGAAAACAACGAAUCAUUGAGGAUGUAUAUGCAAAACACCAACUUCUGGACCUCAAAGAGGUCAAAGCAAUGCAGAGCUGGAACAUGCAGGGUGGCACCCAGAGAUCUGAGGAUUGUAUUCAGCUGAUGAUACACAGCUACGGAGAGUCAGUCCUGGGAUACUGGGAAGGAUUUGUGACUGCAGAGCUGCGGACCAGAAAUUUAUUUGAAAACGGAGUAAAAACAGAUGAGCUAGUAUCUCAAUAAAUGCUUUCAAUCCUCUGAGAAAUAGCUAAGCUCUUUUAAAGGUUAUAACCAAAUAUAUGAACAUUACUAACCUUGAUCAGCCUUUUGGAAUUGAGCACAUACUAUGACUGAAAACUCAGGGUGGCAUCCAUGCAACCAGAAUUAUCCCAGCUUUCAAUUAACUGCAUUCAUUUGGAAAUUAUCUUUUACUUUCAAAACUCAUUUGGCUAUGCAGUGCCUAAACUAAAGCUUAGAGACUGUGAAAAUUAAUCAACAGAAAUUUCAUUUAAAAUGGAGUGGAGAGGCCGGAAGAGAAAGUUCUCACGCACAUGCCACUCAAUGCGCACUACAGACCCCAACAGAAAGAGAUGUACCUUGCGUCUUCAACAGGAAGUGAUACCACUUUCUACCACAGCAGAAGGAAGGAAGAAAUUCCUCCUUGUCCAGCAACAGCUCAGCCAAUGAGAGACUGCCAUAACUCAGCCAAUGAAAAGCCGCUACACUUUGAACUCCCAGUCUGCUCCAAUGGACUCUUUGUUUACAACAGCACCACCCCCCUCCCCGCACACACACACCCCCUCACCCCACCUCCCACCCCGCCAACUUCUUGAAGGAAGUUUCUCUCCUUUGUUUCUCCAGAUUUGCUCGUGGUUGCACUUCUUUGCAGUUAAUA